CUCUCGUCGUUCGACGGGGCCAUUCGUUUCUCACUUUCCGGUUUUUCUUCGAUUUGCAACGUUGUGAAUGCUUACACAUCUAUGGGUAUGUUCUUGCUUUGUUAAAAAGCACGGAGCUUUACGUCCUUCUCUCAAGAAUUUCAGUAUCUUCCAUGAAGUUAGUAAAUUUAUCUGUAUUUAUAUGAUGAGAUCAUAACUACGCAAAUUAAUAGUGUUGUACAUUGUUGCACAAGAUGUCUCUUUUGAGUUCGACUAAUAAUUCAAUUUUUAGACGAAUCCCUCAAGCUAACAAAGGAAAUCAAAGGCUUUUCAUUUCCUGUGUGAUUAUCAUAAAAAGGUUGUUGCACUCUUCUAAAGCUUAUUUGUUCUUCUCAAUUCCAGCUGAAACCAUUUAAAUCAAACUGUUUAGGACGCGUUGUGCCAUAGUUUUCGUCGUGUGUGUUAAGAUCUAGAGCUGUUCUUGUGUGUGUUUCAAGCUUGCAAUCUUCAUUAUUCUCGUUGAAUCUUUCUUCUGUAUACUCACUGUUGUUGCUACUCCUUCCUCUGUGUUCAUGUAAUCCCACUCCUAUUGACAAUCUUCCAGGACUUCUUCUUGAAGACGAGAUUCUCGGUUCUGCGUUGUUAACCAUUGUUGAAAGAUAUGGCCUGUUGUGAUUCUCUCUGAGGCUUUCUUCUUCUGCCCAUGUGAGCUCCAUUCUAUGGAAGAAUGGCUCUUCCAUUAUCUCUUUCUGCUCUGAAGUUGAAUCUCCAAUAUAUGUUCUUAAUCCCAGUCUGUUGUCAAGCAUCUUUGGGGCUUUCUGAGUUCCUUCACUUGAGGUUAGGCAACUGUCCAGGGAGGAGUUAGGUGGAUACGUUUUUUGCAUCUGUUGAUGGUGUAGAUUCUGCAGUUCUUUCGGUUCGAGGAAACUAGAGUCUGGAUAGUCUGCUGAUACUUUAGAUACUAAUUCUGAGAGUUGAGCUUUUGUUGCUUCAAUCCCAGCUGCACCUAGGUUCUGUCUUCCAAGAGUCUCUUGUGCUUUCUCCAGAAUCGAUUGCAGGUACUUUCCUUGAGCCUCUAUCCUGAGCUGCAAAUGUCGCUGUACCUGGCUCAGUUUUAAAAUAUUUUUAAUGAAAUCGUAACUAAAUGCUCUGUUCUCUGUUUCUAUAUAGUUCAUCUCGCCUCUAUUGAUACUCUAUACUUAUGAUUUUCACUGAUCUAUGUGUUUCUACAAUUUUGAGUAUAGUUCUGUAAAUUGUUCCUAUUUUUUUCCAUGAGAAUUAAUGAAACCAGACUCAUCUUGAUUGGUCUUGUUAGAACAAAUAUAGGAACCGAAAAUUCCAACACUGAUAGCUGCUUUGAACAUGGUGAAUGCACAGAGUACAGUAUAUGAUAGAUACCUCAAGUUGCUCGUGUAGCCGUCUCUGGACCUCUAUUUGCAUUUGAAGGGCAUCACUUAUGGGUAAGUUCCUGCGUGCACAAAUAUAGGUCAUUUUUGAGAAUCUACUAAGGUAGAAUAUGUAAGCAAAUAGGCAUAUCCUUACAUGCUCGGCUGUGGUCCAAUGCUUAAACUCUCACUGUGACUUUCGUCUACUUCAGGGGGGUUUUCUUCUACCAUGGUCAUCACACCUAAACCAGGUUGCUUUUAGUUUACUUGAAGGAAAAUAGUAUGAAAAAAGAAUGAAUCUUUAGAUUAAAAUAUUUUUGUAUCUGAGUAAUGAAUAACUAAGCUUACUUGUCUUGUUUAAACUGCUGUUAGCUUGUCCAUUAAGAUUCUUGCUUAGCCUAUAUUUCUGGUAGUCAAAUCAUGAUAUUAAUAAUCUUUGUAAAACAAAAAACAGAUAUUACAGAUUUUUCAUAUCUUGACAUAUCGUCAUUUUUGUGCUACUUUAAUAGUUUUCUACCAAUCGAAUUGAUGAACGAGUCAUGUAAGUUUAGGGCCUUGGGCAUAUGACUGUAUAAAGUGUUGAUGGAUUACCUGAAGAUGACUCUUGAGAUGGUAUAAGGUAAGGCCUGGAAUGCCCAUGACUUUCAUGAUUGUCUUAGGAGUAGCCUCUGCGCAGACAAAAGUAUACACAUUAAUACAUUAUGUUCAAAAAGCCUGAUUGUAAAAGAUGGUUCAUUUGCUUAUAAGAUAACUUACUAUCUCCUCCUCCAAGCUGGUUGACCGCUUCAACAAAUCUCUCGUGAAGAUCUGGAGUCCAUUUUAGUCGUGGCUUUGCAUCAGUGGAGAGAAUGAGUCCAGAAUCUCCUGUGCCAUUUCCUCUGAGGAACGGAUGCCUUUCAGAAGAAAUGGGCAUUCUCGAUGAAGAGAGGAUGCUCUUUCCUUGGUGCUGGUUGUGGUAAUACAUAAGUCUGUCUUCAAAAUAAAAAGGCCGGGGUCUCUCAAGAGUAAAAAGUCUUUGCAACUUUGCUUUAUAUAGAAAGUUGAAUGGCAAAAAGGCAAAUUAGAGGAUGAUAACUAAGGGGAAUUCAUUCUUUUUCCUUAUUCCUCAAUUUUUUCAAAGUCCACAGCUCCAACCUCUCUAUCUCUUGAGGGAGCAUAAUUCAACACGUGGGAUUGUGAUUCGCUUGAUUGAAUGAGAGAGGAUUGGAUACAUAAAACAGGAGGAAGCGGGAAAUGACCGCGGAAUUAUAUUCGUUUGGAGAGAAAAUGGAGGGUAAUAAGUGGGUUCGUUCAUGAGAUUCUAGAGAAUGAGAAUAUGAGAAUCCAAAACUAAAGAAAGCUUGGUGAGUCGCAUUCUCAACUCAAGAAUCUUUUUUGUUCAUCACAACCCGAACCCAAAAAAAAAAAGAGACUAUUCGGGUCUAUUUCUUUCCCCUUUUACUUAGUCUCGAUUUUUGUGGAUAUUUUAAUGAAUUGUGAUUCUUAUAAGCACAACAAAAGAUUAGGAGAAUCAUUGUAGGAGUUUUGUGUUCACCACAAGGCAGUGUUGUCUGCAUCCAACCGAAUCAUGUAGCAGUUUUGUUAUAUUGGUUUGAAUAUUAUGAAACUAUAAAAAAUCGAGGGCACUGCGACUGGACGCAAACGCAAAUGCUGGCUAAAUUAUUCGACAAGUCGG